rnacentral:pre_miRNA from 1 species
AGGAGCAACAGCGCUAGUGGCGGGGCCAGCUCUGGAGCCCUGGAUUCAGCCCCCGCAGGAACUCCGGAGCUCUCCGUCUGCAGGGCCUGGAGGCUCUGGGGCGGG